GACGAACCGUGCGAACGUUAUUCGGAAUCACUGGGCUUAAAGGGCGCGUAGGCGGGCCGCCAAGUCAGGGGUGAAAGCCCCCAGCUCAACUGGGGAAGUGCCUUUGAUACUGGUUGUCUCGAGGGAGGUAGGGGCGUGCGGAACUUCCGGUGGAGCGGUGAAAUGCGUAGAUAUCGGAAGGAACGCCGGUGGCGAAAGCGGCGCGCUGGACCUCUUCUGACGCUGAGGCGCGAAAGCUAGGGGAGCAAACGGG
rnacentral:rRNA from 1 species